AUUGAACGCUGGCGGCAUGCUUUACACAUGCAAGUCGAACGGCAGCGCGGGCUUCGGCCUUGCGGCGAGUGGCGAACGGGUGAGUAAUGCAUCGGAACGUGCCCAGUAGUGGGGGAUAGCCCGGCGAAAGCCGGAUUAAUACCGCAUACGACCUGAGGGUGAAAGCGGGGGACCGAAAGGCCUCGCGCUAUUGGAUCGGCCGAUGUCGGAUUAGCUAGUUGGUGGGGUAAAGGCUUACCAAGGCGACGAUCCGUAGCUGGUCUGAGAGGACGACCAGCCACACUGGGACUGAGACACGGCCCAGACUCCUACGGGAGGCAGCAGUGGGGAAUUUUGGACAAUGGGGGCAACCCUGAUCCAGCCAUGCCGCGUGCGGGAAGAAGGCCUUCGGGUUGUAAACCGCUUUUGUUCGGGAAGAAAUCCUCUGGGCUAAUACCCCGGGGGGAUGACGGUACCGGAAGAAUAAGCACCGGCUAACUACGUG
rnacentral:rRNA from 1 species